AAAACCAUCUGACCACGUACAGUACUGGGGAUUAGGAAAACCCUUGCUGCGUUGUAGACCCUCUUAUCCCCUUUCAAAAUAAAACAUUUAGGGCCACGUCAUUAUUUAGCGAGUGCUAGGCCCUUCUUGAGCAUUUACACUCAUUCCUAGGUGCUUCAGAGAACUGUACAAUAUGGCCGUUUUAUGGUGUCUGUUGGUUCCGAUUUUUCUCUGCUUCAUCACCAACAUUGACGCAAUCUUUGAUGACGAGCCACACAGCAACCGAUCGGAAGUGUUUUACAUCAGCGAUAAUGGAAGGUUUGGAAAGGUUACAAAACAGGUAGAAGGGGUAAGUGAAAAUAUUGUGUUAAUUCAUUUCACAUUCGCAAUUUUCAUUAUGGAGGAAUCUUAGACUUUCAGUCAGGUGUCUGUCAUAGCCAAUCUGAACCCCGGUACUCAGUUAUGGCAAUGCCUUCUGCGCCGAACGCGAAUAGUACAAGUAUUCUGAUUGGCAAAUACCGAAGUCCCAACUUAUCAUAAAGUGGCAAAUGGCGAUCAAAAGAGAAAAUACCCUUUUUCAACAUUGGCCUCGUUCCAUUGAAUUACCACUUGAAAGUUCUCCAGUUGACUGUUUUCUGGUGUUUGUAAUGGCGUUUCUGAUCUUUUUCUACUGAUUGUUUGUUUAUAUUUACGCUCGUUAACAAAAUAGCACCUUCUGCGUUGAACUACAUGUAGCUGUAUAAGUAUAUCAUACCACGUAGAACCAUAAUAUAAGAAACAAUGACCGUUAUAAUACAUCGAGUCUGUGUCCAAAAUGUAAAUAUGGUGGUGUUUAUGUAUCCCGUGAUAAGUUCAUUUAGGAAAAAAAUUUAUUCUUUUUUUCACAGAUAGAACACUUGGACUGCACAUUCUCUUGGUUGGCUAAUCAUCAGUACAAAAACGAAUUUGACACGAGCGAGACUUGGAUCAUGCGAAUGACUUAUACACACGACUUUCAACAUCUCCACUGCGAGGUGGAGACCUUCGGCGAUAAAGUCACAUCCAAGAUACCCAUAUUCUACUUCAGAUUCCACAUUACCGGAUUGGCUAUCAAAAAGGUGGUCGGCAGGCGCUCCAACCAAGGCCGCAGCGGCGAACCACUCACAGACAAGGAGUAUACAAUUAACGAGGAACUUAAUACAGUUAUGAAUACGAAAAGGGGAUUCUUUGGCAGACUUUCUUAUCUUGCUGUCACCGCAGAGGCUGAUGAGGGAUAUGAACAUGAUGAGUUGUAAAUUUUUACGACGGGAGUUGACUUUUUUACAAAUCGAUAUAAUAAUGUUGAGGUCCAAUGACAUAAUGGUUCGUCAGGUUCAAAGACAGAUAACACCAAUGAUGCAGAGGGAGAAAAAGCGGCUCUACUGCUUGCUGUUUUGGGAACCUUUCCCUAUGGAUCUAUACCUUCUUGCAAUUCUGUGAAGAUAUAAAAGACAGAGAUUCUGCUCGUCAGACGCAUUAUGGGUCAUAUCAAGUAUAAAUCCAUAAUUGGUCAUAUGGAUGAUCAUAACAUAACUAUGA